rnacentral:misc_RNA from 1 species
AAAAAAAAAAAAAACGCCUUCCUUUUCGAUUUUAUUCUGAGAAAACUUUCCAGCAACGUAAGAUAUGAUUGAAAUGGAAUUGUAGCUACCAAGAGUCGAUCUUUCUGUUAGAAGAAGCACAAACAUUGCUUAUUCUGAUUCUGAUUCUCCGACAAGGAGAAAAAUUAAACCAAAAAAAAAAGGAAGAUGUCGUCGUCGGAAAUUCCUGGGAUUUUGGAGAGCUCGAGGGAGCUUGAUCGGUUGAGGAAAGAGCAAGAGGAAGUGCUUUUAGAGAUCAACAAGAUGCACAAGAAGCUUCAAGCUACUCCUGAAGUAGUUGAGAAGCCUGGUGAUAGUUCUUUGUCAAGGCUUAAAAGUUUAUAUACUCAGGCCAAGGAUCUUUCAGAGCAUGAAGUAAAUAUUUCCAGUACCCUGUUGAGUCAACUGAAUGCUCUGCUUCCAUCUGGGACUCCAGGGCAACAACGAAGGAGGAUAGAAGGUAGUGAUCAGAAAAGGAAAAAAAUGAAGAAUGAGUCAGAUAUCUCAAGGC